AGGAUGGUGGGAAAGCUGUGAAACAAACAGGAACACGUACCGACCAACGUCCUUGACGGGCGCGCAACCGGUGGAAUAGAUAAGGAUGGUGGGAGUCGACGGCGAGAACCAGCUUUGAAAGGCGUCGGCGUGCGGGGGCGUGUCCUGAGAGGCUGAGAAGAAGCCGUGGCCUAUGGCCUAGGAGCGAGGUCAAAACCACCUUUACCGGCAGAGCCAACCCCAUCGAGGCAUCGACGGUGCCGCCCAGGCAAGCAAGCCCAGCCAGUCUAGAUCGACGACGUGCUUGUUCGGAAUCGAUGCUACCAAGGGUUGUUUCACUUUCAUCCCUGUGUAUAUGAUGCUGCGGGCGCCUCCCUACGCAGCGGCGUUCGAUUGAAGCUCUCAUCAACAGUUCAGCACGGCCACGACGGUCGUCCCCAUCCUCACAAGCCUCUCCACAUGAUGGUUCAACUUCCAAGCCAGCCCAUGAGGCCGUUUAGAGUCACUAGAGGUUUAUCGAACAUUCGAAACACCUAAAAGGAUAUGAUGUAUGUGAUGAUUGGUUGGGAUAUUUAUAAGAUACCCGCUUGGAAAUUUGAUUGGAUACACAGCUACGAGGUAACUGAUUUGGCCGCCACCCGGUGGAGCCAGCAGUGGCAGUUGGGAUUCGGGCGUGAUUGGAUCGGGUGAACCAACGAUCCGGAGCUGGGUCCAACACUGGGUCGCUCGUGCAUGGAUCAUAUAAGAUUUUUUUCCCCGUAAAGAAAUUCAUGUCAGUUCCUGUGUAGCAUGCUGCAGUUGACUUUGACUUUUAUCCCCUGUUACCUUUUCAUCUAUUUUGCUUGCUUCCACGCGAAAUGAAUUCACAACUCAGGUUGAAAAAUGAAAAUAUUUUUGAAGUUCCAAUA